AACCAUAGAAACCUGCGGAGUACCUGCGGAGGGAUCAUCGAAGAAUAUUAUUGUAUUCCUUUAUAAAAAAAAGAAGGAGGGGGGGGGAAGGAGGGUAGAAAGGAUCUUCUUCUUUACGGGGAAGUUCCCUCUCUCUCUUUUUCUCUUUCCUCUUUUUUUUUUUACAAACAAACGAUCGCAACUAUCUCAAUAGAUAUAAUCUGGCUUGGCUUGGUUGGUUGGAGAGGAGGGGGGAAGAAA
rnacentral:misc_RNA from 1 species